GUGCCAGCCGCCGCGGUAAUACGGAGGGAGCAAGCGUUACUCGGAAUUAUUGGGCGUAAAGGGCGCGUAGGCGAUUUGGCAAGUCUUGUGUGAAAGCCCACAGCUUAACUGUGGAAGUGCACAAGAUACUGCUGAAUUUGAGUUCAGGAGAGGAAGGCAGAAUUCCUGGUGUAGCGGUGAAAUGCGUAGAUAUCAGGAGGAAUACCAGUGGCGAAGGCGGCCUUCUGGACUGACACUGACGCUGAGGCGCGAAAGCUAGGGGAGCAAACGGGAUUAGAAACCCUUGUAGUCC
rnacentral:rRNA from 1 species